rnacentral:rRNA from 1 species
GGUCAAGCUAGUAAGGGCGUAUGGUGGAUGCCUUGGCGUGCGGAGGCGAUGAAGGACGUUGUAGGCUGCGAUAAGCUCCGAGGAGCCGCCAAACAGGCUUUGAUCCGGAGAUCUCCGAAUGGGGCAACCCGGGUUCAGUUCGCAAGGACAUGGACCCACUCCCGUCUGAAUGCAUAGGACGGGCAGAGCGAACGCGGGGAACUGAAACAUCUCAGUACCCGUAGGAAAGGAAAUCAACCGAGACUCCGUGAGUAGCGGCGAGCGAAAGCGGACUAGCCCAUGAGCCGUCAAAUGCUCAGCUGAACGUUCUGGAAAGGGCGACCAUAGAAGGUGACAGUCCUGUAGGCGUCAGGCAGAUGGCGGCGAUUGAGUAGGUCGGAUGUCGUGAAACUCUGACUGAACAUGCGGGGCCCACCCUGCAAGGCUAAGUACUCCCGCACGACCGAUAGUGAACCAGUAAGGCGACUGAACGGUGAAAAGCACCCCUUCUAGGGGAGUCAAAAGCACCUGAAACCAUAUGCCUACAAGCUGUAGGAGCCCGAUUGCCGCAAGGCACGGGUGACUGCGUACCUCUUGGAUAAUGGACCGGCGAGUUGCCGUAUACGGCUUGGUUAAGCGCUUCCGGCGCGGAGCCAGAGCGAAAGCGAGUCUGAAUAGGGCGUUUUGUCGUAUGCGGCAGACCCGAACCUGCGUGAUCUACCCAUGGCCAGGUUGAAGGAAGGGUAAAACCUUCUGGAGGACCGAAGCCGUUAACGUUGAAAAGUUAUGGCAUGAGCUGUGGGGAGGAGUAAAAGUCUAAUCAAACGCAGAGAUAUCUGGUUCUCCCCGAAAUGUCUUUUGGGACAGCCUCGGGCCACUACGUCGCGGGGGUAGAGCUACUGAAUGAAUCGCGGGGUCUUCGGACUACCGCCUUCAAUCAAACUCCGAAUACCGUGACGACUAUCCCGGGAGUGAGAGUGUGGGCGCUAAUGUUCAUACUCAAAAGGGUAAUAACCCGAAUCGCCAGCUAAGGCCCCCAAGCGACGCUGAGUGCUUAAGGAAGUCUGUUUUCUGUGACAGCCAGGAUGUUGGCUUAGAAGCAGCCACCAUUUAAAAAGUGCGUAAUAGCUUACUGGUCGAGAAGAUGGGCGCCGAUAAUGAUCGGGACUAAGCGUCGCGCCGAAGCUGCGGGCGCGCAAGCGCGGUAGGGGAGCGUACCACCGGAGACACAAGCCAUACCGUAAGGAGUGGUACCGGCCGGUGGUAGUGAGAAUGCCGGUAUGAGUAACGAUAAAGCGGGUGAGAAUCCCGCUCGCCGUAAGCCCAAGGAUUCCUGGGGAAGGGAAAUCCGCCCAGGGUUAGUCGGAACCUUAGUGGAGGCCGAAAGGCGUACACGAUGGACAGCAGGUUAAUAUUCCUGCACUCCGUAUGUAGCCGGCGGGGACGUGAUCAUGGAGCGCGACCCACUACAAGCCUAGAGGGUGCCCGCAAGGGCGAGGCCGCUUUGUUGCCGAAGCGCGUGAAGUGAUCACCGAGAAAAGCCGUCCGGUGUAAGAAUGCGGAUCCGUACCAAAACUGACACAGGUGGGCGAGGAGAGUAUCCUAACGGCGCUCGAGAGAACGGUCCUUAAGGAACUAGGCAAUUUGACCCCGUAACUUUGGGAAAAGGGGAGCCUCCUCCGCAAGGAGAGGCCGCAGAGAAUCGGCUCUGGGAACUGUUUAUCAAAAACACAGCUCUGUGCCAACUCGUAAAGAGGACGUAUACAGAGUGACGCGUGCUCGGUGCCGGAAGGUUAAGGAAGCCGGUCAGCGCAAGCGAAGCUGGCGACCGAAGCCCCGGUUAACGGCGGCCGUAACUAUGACGGUCCUAAGGUUAACAGACGCUAGCCUUAGUCAAACCGAACCAUAUGCGGGAAACUCCUCCACAGCCGUCCAGUACUCGUCGGGCUCAUGGCCCGGCAGUAAGAAUCUGGCGGACAUGGGGACAAUCCGCAGGGAAGACCUCCCGACCUGCUCGGGAGGAACCCUCAGAGACUUGAUGUUCGGACUGGAGCCAUCUCAUGCAGCUCGAUGCACAGUGGAUUGUGGGUUUCACCGACGGUGAAGGUUGCUUUCACGUCGGCGUCUCGCGCCAUCCGGACAUGGCAUCGGGCGUCCAGGUCCUGCCCGAGUUCGUCCUCGUCCAGCACAAGCGCGACGUGAAAGUGCUUCACGGCGUCAAGCAGUUCUUUGACUGCGGCGUCGUGCGCAGGAAUCACGGCGAUCGGAUGUGCUGGCGCGUGCGGCGGCUCGAGCAUCUGGCCGAGCGCAUUCUCCCGUUCUUCGAGCGACACCCGCUCAAGACGCGAAAGCGUCAGGAUUUUCUGGCUUUCCGCAAGGUCGUCCGACUGAUGCGUGAGGGCCGGCACCUGUCGUCGGAGGGUCUGGAGCAGGUGCUGCGGAUCGUCGAGCGGAUGAAUCGCGGUCGGAGCAUGGAGAAGGCCCAGUAAGGUAAAGUCCAGCCGGUCGCGAAAGCGAUUGGACCAUCUGAGCGAAGUUCCUUGUCGGGUAAGUUCCGACGCGCAUGAAUCGCGUAAUCACUGGAGCAGUGUCUCAAGGACCGACUCGGUGAAAUUGAAGUCGCGGUGAAGAUACCGUGUACCCGCAGCAAGACGGAAAGACCCCGUGAACCUUUACUGCAGCCUGGUAUGGGCAAUUUGUAUCGCAUGCGUAGGAUAGGUGGGAGGCACUGAUCCGCUGGUUCCGGCCAGCGGGGAGCCAACGUUGAAAUACCACCCUUGUGCUACGACUUGCCUAACCUCGACCCGUGAAUCCGGGCGAGGGACAGUGCUAGGUGGGCAGUUUGACUGGGGCGGUCUCCUCCCAAAAAGUAACGGAGGAGUGCAAAGGUCGGCUCAGCACGGUUGGCAAUCGUGCGCAGAGGGCAAGGCCAUAAGCCGGCUUAACUGUGAGAGGAAAAUCUCGAGCAGAUGCGAAAGCAGGCCCUAGUGAUCCGGUGCUCCCGCGUGGAAGGGGCAUCGCUCAACUGAUAAAAGGUACUCCGGGGAUAACAGGCUGAUGACUCCCGAGCGUCCACAGCGGCGGAGUCGUUUGGCACCUCGAUGUCGGCCCAUCGCAUCCUGGGGCUGAAGGCGGUCCCAAGGGUUCGGCUGUUCGCCGAUUAAAGCGGUACGCGAGCUGGGUUCAGACCGGCGCGAGCCAGGUCGGUCCCUAUCUGCUGUGGGCGUAGGAGUCUUGAGAGGCCAUCUCCCUAGUACGAGAGGAUUGGGUGGUACAUGCCUCUGGUGUACCUGUUGUCGCGCUAGCGGCACGGCAGGGUAGCUAAGCAUGGAUUGGAUAAACGCUGAAUGCAUCUAAGCGUGAAGCCGUCCUCAAGAUAAGGACUCCGUGCUCCCUUCGGGUGAGCUGAAGACCCCUCGUAGACUACGAGGUUGAUAGGCCGGGUGUGUAAGAGCCGAGAGGCUCUCAGCUUACCGGUACUAACGGUCGAGGGCUUGACCGC